rnacentral:rRNA from 1 species
UGUACCUACGGGGGGCAGCAGUCGGGAAUAUUGCGCAAUGGAGGAAACUCUGACGCAGUGACGCCGCGUAUAGGAAGAAGGUUUUCGGAUUGUAAACUAUUGUCCACAGGGAAGAAAAAAGACUGUACCUGUGAAGAAAGCUCCGGCUAACUACGUGCCAGCAGCCGCGGUAAUACGUAGGGAGCAAGCGUUAUCCGGAUUUAUUGGGUGUAAAGGGUGCGUAGACGGGAUAACAAGUUAGUUGUGAAACCCCUCGGCUUAACUGAGGAACUGCAACUAAAACUAUUAUUCUUGAGUGCAGGAGA